rnacentral:rRNA from 1 species
AUUGAACGCUGGCGGCAUGCUUUACACAUGCAAGUCGAACGGUAACAGGCCGCAAGGUGCUGACGAGUGGCGAACGGGUGAGUAAUGCAUCGGAACGUGCCCAGUCGUGGGGGAUAACGCAGCGAAAGCCGCGCUAAUACCGCAUACGAUCUGUGGAUGAAAGCGGGGGACCUUCGGGCCUCGCGCGAUUGGAGCGGCCGAUGUCAGAUUAGGCAGUUGGUGGGGUAAAGGCUCACCAAGCCGACGAUCUGUAGCUGGUCUGAGAGGACGACCAGCCACACUGGGACUGAGACACGGCCCAGACUCCCACGGGAGGCAUCAGUGGGGAAUUUUGGACAAGGGGGGCAACCCUGAUCCAGCAAUGCCGCGUGCAGGAAGAAGGCCUUCGGGUUGUAAACUGCUUUUGUACGGAACGAAAAGGCUCUGGUUAAUACCUGGGGCACAUGACGGUACCGUAAGAAUAAGCACCGGCUAACUACGUGCCAGCCGCCGCAGUAAUAC